AUUGUCCCGGGUUCAGGUUACGAUAGCUCCGGCUGCUAAUUAUCUGAGCAGCGCGUAUGCAAAGUUUCUCAUGUGUUGAAAAUAACAUUACUGUACAUACUCUGCACAGUUGUAUCAACUAGCAUAAUGACUUCGAACUUUAUUCCAGCUUUCUAAAAAGGCGGUCAGUAUCAUCUCCAGCAACAAAUGCAACCUACAACCGCGACAGGUGUUCAGCUACUGAAUGAGGAAGAGGAGGAGGCUGAUGUCUUGUAAUCCAGGUCCUGAAGUUGCUGCAAUAAAAAAAAAAGCUGGAGUGUGAACGCCUUGAAAGAGAUGAGACUACGCCCAUUGAUGCAAAACAGAAUUCGAAGAUGAACGGGCCUUCCUACAAAACAGAGUCUAGUGCUGAUGAUCCACAGGCACCACCCACAGCUGAACUUUACUCACAUUUCACAGGAAGAAACUGCUCCUAAACUUUCUGCCUGCCUGUAUCUUCAGCUGUGCAUCAUCAGAGCUCAGGUCCAUUAUAACAAAGCUCCAGGAUAGUGUAGACCCCCCCCCCCCCCAAGCAGCUGAAUGUGUCAAUAAGUGCCCAAAUGUGCUUUAGAUUGUAUUUGUAUAGAAAGUCAAUGUUUGUUGAAUAAAUAACUAUUUUAUCUUGAUCUCUUUAACUUUUCCUUCUUAUUAUAUUAUCCUAUUUUAUUAUUACCUUAGUUGUUGUUGUUCUGCCCAAUGGUGAUCGUUUGAAUCUUGAAAUCUUGAUAAUGUUUUUGUUAUUUGGUAAAUAUAAAUAAGAAGAUAGGACUAAAAAUCAGUGGGCAAUGCACACAAUUACUAAUUGUUAUAACCAUUACCAGAACAGGUCAAUUACAGGUAGUAAAUGCAAUCACAACAAUAGAGUAGAAGAAAAGGAUAUCUGUUUUAUUAUGUAAACUGGUCAAAACAAAAGACUUCAAGGAACUCAACAUACAAACUCAACUUGAAAUGGCACAAAAAUACCGAACAAAACCACAAUAGGUAUGUAUGUACAAGUCUGUAAGACACAUUUUUACACAAGGCAACACACCCUGUAGCAAGGAUACUGUACUUGUAUAAGCAUCUCAGAUUUUCCAGACGCAUCAGCUUUGAUUCAUAACUCUGUUCCCCUCUCCCAAGCAGCCAUGCUAUCAUAACACACAUUGUCUAUAUGCUGCAGGCCUGUCAUGCUGCUCCACUCCAGGCUCCUGCUCAUCACUGAUGGUGAGUUGAAGUUGAAUCCUGGAAUAAAAGGAGAACCGAUGUUGAAAAACAAAAACCUCAUACACUUAUUACAUAUACAU